rnacentral:rRNA from 1 species
UACGAAGGGUGCAAACGUUGCUCGGAAUCAUUGGGCGUAAAGCGCACGUAGGCGGCCUCAUAAGUCGGAUGUGAAAUCCCUCGGCUCAACCGAGGAAGUGCAUCCGAAACUGCGAGGCUCGAGUAUGGAAGAGGGUCGCAGAAUUCCCGGUGUAGAGGUGAAAUUCGUAGAUAUCGGGAGGAAUACCAGUGGCGAAGGCGGCGACCUGGGCUAAUACUGACGCUGAGGUGCGAAAGCGUGGGGAGCAAACAGG